ACCUUCUUAUAUCCCAAAUGAGCUAAGUCUUCCACCUUACUUCUGCUGCUAAGAGCCGAGAGAGGGAGAGAGGAAGAAUAAGAGAGAAACCUCUUCAUUUCUUCUUGGAUUCAUCUAUAAAGCAAGAAUCAAACCAAACCAAACCGAUUAAUCUUCUCCUUGAGUGAUUAGCUAGUGUUUGGUGGUGAAAUUUUGGAAAGAGAAGGCUUGGGCUACCCUUGGAGAACUCAAAUCAAGAGCUGGACUUCAAACCUGGAGUAUAGUUGAACGUGAAUACUUGAAGCACUAGAUUUUGUGGAUCGAGGUAAAGGAAGACCUUGUAUUUGGAUCUUUGUGU